rnacentral:rRNA from 1 species
GUAAGGAAUAUUGGUCAAUGGACGCAAGUCUGAACCAGCCAUGCCGCGUGGAGGAUGAAGGUCCUCUGGAUUGUAAACUUCUUUUAUCUGGGAAGAAAUCACUUUUUUCUAAGAGUGUUGACGGUACCAGAUGAAUAAGCACCGGCUAACUCCGUGCCAGCAGCCGCGGUAAUACGGAGGGUGCAAGCGUUAUCCGGAUUCACUGGGUUUAAAGGGUGCGUAGGCGGAAUGGUAAGUCCGUGGUGAAAUCUCCGAGCUUAACUCGGAAACUGCCGUGGAUACUAUCAAUCUUGAAUGUUGUGGAGGUUUGCGGAAUAUGUCAUGUAGCGGUGAAAUGCUUAGAUAUGACAUAGAACACCGAUUGCGAAGGCAGCAGGCUACACAAAUAUUGACGCUGAGGCACGAAAGCGUGGGGAUCAAA